GACAGAGGGCGCGAACGUUGUUCGGAAUUACUGGGCGUAAAGCGCAUGUAGGCGGCAGCGCAAGUCGGGCGUGAAAUCCCACGGCUCAACCGUGGAAGUGCACUCGAAACUGCGCAGCUAGAGUCCUGGAGAGGAAGGUGGAAUGCUUGGUGUAGAGGUGAAAUUCGUAGAUAUCAGGAGGAACACCGGUGGCGAAGGCGGGACUCUGGGCCGAUACUGACGCUGAGGAGCGAAAGCGUGGGGAGCAAACAGG
rnacentral:rRNA from 1 species